rnacentral:rRNA from 1 species
AGAACGAACGCUGGCGGCAUGCCUAAUACAUGCAAGUCGAACGAACUCUUCGGAGUUAGUGGCGCACGGGUGCGUAACGCGUGGGAAUCUGCCCCUUGGUUCGGAAUAACAGUUGGAAACGACUGCUAAUACCGGAUGAUGACGAAAGUCCAAAGAUUUAUCGCCAAGGGAUGAGCCCGCGUAGGAUUAGCUAGUUGGUGAGGUAAAGGCUCACCAAGGCAACGAUCCUUAGCUGGUCUGAGAGGAUGAUCAGCCACACUGGGACUGAGACACGGCCCAGACUCCUACGGGAGGCAGCAGUAGGGAAUAUUGGACAAUGGGCGAAAGCCUGAUCCAGCAAUGCCGCGUGAGUGAUGAAGGCCUUAGGUUGUAAAGCUCUUUUACCCGAGAUGAUAAUGACAGUAUCGGAGAAUAAGCCCCGGCUAACCUCCGCGCCAGCAGCCGC